rnacentral:rRNA from 1 species
AUUGAACGCUGGCGGCAUGCCUUACACAUGCAAGUCGAACGGCAGCACGGGAGCAAUCCUGGUGGCGAGUGGCGAACGGGUGAGUAAUAUAUCGGAACGUGCCCGGUCGUGGGGAUAACGUAGCGAAAGCUACGCUAAUACCGCAUACGAUCUACGGAUGAAAGCGGGGGAUCGCAAGACCUCGCGCGAUUGGAGCGGCCGAUAUCAGAUUAGGUAGUUGGUGAGGUAAAAGCUCACCAAGCCGACGAUCUGUAGCUGGUUUGAGAGAACGACCAGCCACACUGGGACUGAGACACGGCCCAGACUCCUACGGGAGGCAGCAGUGGGGAAUAUUGGACAAUGGGCGCAAGACCUGAUCCAGCCAUGCCGCGUGUGUG